AUUGAACGCUGGCGGCAUGCCUUACACAUGCAAGUCGAACGGUAACAGGUUAAGCUGACGAGUGGCGAACGGGUGAGUAAUGUAUCGGAACGUGCCCAGUCGUGGGGGAUAACUGCUCGAAAGAGCAGCUAAUACCGCAUACGACCUGAGGGUGAAAGCGGGGGAUCGCAAGACCUCGCGCGAUUGGAGCGGCCGAUAUCAGAUUAGGUAGUUGGUGAGGUAAAGGCUCACCAAGCCGACGAUCUGGAGCUGGUCUGAGAGGACGACCAGCCACAAUGGGACUGAGACACGGCCCAGACUCCUACGGGAGGCAGCAGUGGGGAAUUUGGGACAAUGGGCGCAAGCCUGAUCCAGCCAUGCCGCGUGCGGGAAGAAGGCCUUCGGGUUGUAAACCGCUGUUGUCAGGGAAGAAAAGGUUCUGGCUAAUACCUGGGACUCAUGACGGUACCUGAAGAAUAAGCACCGGCUAACUACGUGCCAGCCGCCGCCGUAAUAC
rnacentral:rRNA from 1 species